CCUACGGGAGGCUGCAGUGAGGAAUAUUGGUCAAUGGACGCAAGUCUGAACCAGCCAUGCCGCGUGCAGGAAGACGGCUCUAUGAGUUGUAAACUGCUUUUGUACGAGGGUAAACGCAGAUACGCGUAUCUGUCUGAAAGUAUCGUACGAAUAAGGAUCGGCUAACUCCGUGCCAGCAGCCGCGGUGAUACGGAGGGUUCAAGCGUUAUCCGGAUUUAUUGGGUUUAAAGGGUGAGUAGGCGGUCGGCUAAGUUAGAGGUGAAAUCCCGAGGCUCAACUUCGGAAUUGCCUCUGAUAACGUUCGGCUAGAGAGUAGGUGCGGGAGGCGUAAUGUAUGGUGGAGCGGUGAAAGGC
rnacentral:rRNA from 1 species